rnacentral:rRNA from 1 species
UUCGGAUCGUAAAACUCUGUUAUUAGGGAAGAACAAAUGUGUAAGUAACUAUGCACGUCUUGACGGUACCUAAUCAGAAAGCCACGGCUAACUACGUGCCAGCAGCCGCGGUAAUACGUAGGUGGCAAGCGUUAUCCGGAAUUAUUGGGCGUAAAGCGCGCGUAGGCGGUUUUUUAAGUCUGAUGUGAAAGCCCACGGCUCAACCGUGGAGGGUCAUUGGAAACUGGAAAACUUGAGUGCAGAAGAGGAAAGUGGAAUUCCAUGUGUAGCGGUGAAAUGCGCAGAGAUAUGGAGGAACACCAGUGGCGAAGGCGACUUUCUGGUCUGUAACUGACGCUGAUGUGCGAAAGCGUGGGGAUCAAACAGGAUUAGAUACCCUGGUAGUCCACGCCGUAAACGAUGAGUGCUAAGUGUUUAAGGGGGUUUCCGCCCCUUAGUGGCUGCAGCUAACGCAUUAAGCACUCCGCCCGGGGGAGUACGACCGCAAGGUUGAAACUCAAAGGAAUUGACGGGGACCCGCACAAGCGGUGGAACAAGGUGGUUUAAUUCGAAGCAACGCCGAAGAACCUUACCAAAUCUUGACAUCCUCUGACCCCUCUAGAAGAUAGAGUUUUCCCCUUCGGGGGACAGA